rnacentral:rRNA from 1 species
AAAGGAGGAAGAAAGGGGGGAGAAAGAGGGGAAAAGAAGCGGGAGGAGAGCGAAGAGAAACAGAACGAGGGGGGGCGAACACAAAGGGGAGGGGGAGGUUGGGAAUUUUCCGCAAUGGGGGGAAGCUUGCGGGAGCAAUUCCGCGUGAGGGAGGAGGGCUCUUGGGUUGUAAACCUCUUUUCUCAAGGAAGAACACAAUGACGGUACUUGAGGAAUCAGCAUCGGCUAACUCCGUGCCAGCAGCCGCGGUAAUACGGAGGAUGCAAGCGUUAUCCGGAAUGAUUGGGCGUAAAGCGUCCGCAGGUGGUGAUGUAAGUCUGCUGUUAAAGAGUGAGGCUCAACCUCAUAAAAGCAGUGGAAACUACAUGACUAGAGUGCGUUCGGGGCAGAGGGAAUUCCUGGUGUAGCGGUGAAAUGCGUAGAUAUCAGGAAGAACACCGGUGGCGAAAGCGCUCUGCUAGGCCGCAACUGACACUGAGGGACGAAAGCUAGGGGAGCGAAUGGGAUUAGAUACCCCAGUAGUCCUAGCCGUAAACGAUGGAUACUAGGCGUGGCUUGUAUCGACCCGAGCCGUGCCGUAGCUAACGCGUUAAGUAUCCCGCCUGGGGAGUACGCACGCAAGUGUGAAACUCAAAGGAAUUGACGGGGGCCCGCACAACCGGUGGAGUAUGUGGUUUAAUUAGAUGCAACGCGAAGAACCUUCCAGGACUUACAUGUCGGGAACUUUCCCUA